GAUGAUCGAUAGCUGGUCUGAGGAGAUGAUCAGCCACACUGGGACUGAGACACGGCCCAGACUCCUACGGGAGGCAGCAGUAACCAAUAUUGGACAAUGGGCGCAAGCCUGAUCCAGCAAUGCCGCGUUGGUGAAGAAGGUUUUCGGAUUGUAAAGCACUUUCAGCGGGGACGAUGAUGACGGUACCCGCAGAAGAAGCCAAGGCUAACUUCGUGCCAGCAGCCGCGGUAAUACGAAGGGGGCAAGCGUUGCUCGGAAUGACUGGGCGUAAAGGGCGCGUAGGCGGUUUUAACAGUCAGAUGUGAAAUUCCUGGGCUUAACCUGGGGGCUGCAUUUGAUACGUUGAGACUAGAGUGUGAGAGAGGGUUGUGGAAUUCCCAGUGUAGAGGUGAAAUUCGUAGAUAUUGGGAAGAACACC
rnacentral:rRNA from 1 species